rnacentral:rRNA from 1 species
UACGUAGGGAGCAAGCGUUGUCCGGAAUCAUUGGGCGUAAAGCGCGCGUAGGCGGCCCCGUAAGUCCGCUGUGAAAGUCAAAGGCUCAACCUUUGAAAGCCGGUGGAUACUGUGGGGCUAGAGUCCGGAAGAGGCGAGUGGAAUUCCUGGUGUAGCGGUGGAAUGCGCAGAUAUCGCUUGGAACGCCGAAGGUGAAAACAGGUUGCUGGGGAUGUGCCGACGCUGAGACACGAAAGCCAGGGGAGCAAACGGG